rnacentral:rRNA from 1 species
UAGGGAAUAUUAGAAAUGGACGAAAGUCUGAUCUAGCCACACCGCGUGUGCGAAGAAGGCCUUCGGGUUGUAAAGCACUUUUUGGAAGGAUUAGGAAGGAAUGUACUUCCAGAAUAAGUCUCGGCUAACUACGUGCCAGCAGCCGCGGUAACACGUAGGAGGCAAACGUUAUCCGGAUUUACUGGGCGUAAAGCGCGUGUAGGUGGUUCUGUAAGUAGGGCGUGAAAGCUCCGAGCUCAACUGGGAGAGGCCGUUCUAAACUGCAGAGCUAGAGGAUGGUAGAGGGAGGUGGAAUUCCGGGUGUAGCGGUGGAAUGCGCAGAUAUCCGGAGGAACACCAGUGGCGAAAGCGGCCUCCUGGACCAUUCCUGACACUCAGACGCGAAAGCUAGGGUAGCAAACG